UACGUAGGGGGCAAGCGUUGUCCGGAUUUAUUGGGCGUAAAGAGCGUGUAGGCGGCCAGGUAGGUCCGUUGUGAAAACUCGAGGCUCAACCUCGAGACGUCGGCGGAAACCCUCUGGCUAGAGUCCGGGAAGAGGAGAGUGGAAUUCCGUGGUGUAGCGGUGAAAUGCGCAGAUAUCAGGAAGAACACCCGUGGCGAAGGCGGCUCUCUGGGACGGUACUGACGCUGAGACGCGAAAGCGUGGGGAGCAAAC
rnacentral:rRNA from 1 species